rnacentral:rRNA from 1 species
GAUGAACGCUGGCGGCGUGCCUAAUACAUGCAAGUCGAGCGAACGGACGAGAAGCUUGCUUCUCUGAUGUUAGCGGCGGACGGGUGAGUAACACGUGGAUAACCUACCUAUAAGACUGGGAUACUUCGGGAAACCGGAGCUAAUACCGGAUAAUAUUUUGAACCGCAUGGUUCAAAAGUGAAAGACGGUCUUGCUGUCACUUAUAGAUGGAUCCGCGCUGCAUUAGCUAGUUGGUAAGGUAACGGCUUACCAAGGCAACGAUGCAUAGCCGACCUGAGAGGGUGAUCGGCCACACUGGAACUGAGACACGGUCCAGACUCCUACGGGAGGCAGCAGUAGGGAAUCUUCCGCAAUGGGCGAAAGCCUGACGGAGCGACGCCGCGUGAGUGAUGAAGGUCUUCGGAUCGUAAAACUCUGUUAUUAGGGAAGAACAUAUGUGUAAGUAACUGUGCACAUCUUGACGGUACCUAAUCAGAAAGCCACGGCUAACUACGUG